rnacentral:rRNA from 1 species
AUGUUUGUUGAGGCUAUGUGGGAGCGAGCAUACAAUCACAUAUGUUGGCCAGAUGCUAAAAUGGAAAAGAUCAAGCGCAAGUUUGACAAGAUCCACGGCCUGGCAAAUUGCUGCGGUGUUGUACAUACAACCCACAUCACGUUUGGAUCACAAAACCAGGAACCUGGUGAUGAGCAGAAUGACGAUAGGCUUACGCUAGUCGUUGAUCCAGAUAUGAAAUUCACAGACACUCACCUGGGAUCAGAAAACCAAUUGAGCGUUUUGCAUGAUUCUUGGCUCUUUGAGUCCUGCCAGGAGGGUACUCUGCUCAAUGGCAAUAAGCUCAAGUUAUCAGAUGGCUUGGAAGUUGGGGAAUACAUCAUUGGUGAUGCAGGAUACCCUCUUCUCCCCUGGCUUCUCACACCUUAUCACCUGGAAGGCAAGGACCUCCUCUCUGCAGAUGUUCCUCCUUAUCAAGCGGAGUUCAACAGGAGACACUCUUCAGCAUCGACCCUCACGCUGGCUGCAUUGGCGAGGUUGAAAGAGAAUUGGAAGAUCUUAGACAGAGCUGUUGGUUCACUCCCAGUUGUGGAAACAAUCGAUGUGUGUUGCAUCUUGCAUAAUAUAGUGAUAGACAUGGAGGAGGUAGAGGAGGAGGAAGUUGCGGGCAUGGAGGAGGAGAAUUACAUCGAGCAAGUGCGGCAGGUAGAAAAAAAAAAGUGCGGCAGGUAG